rnacentral:rRNA from 1 species
UACGAAGGGGGCUAGCGUUGCUCGGAAUCACUGGGCGUAAAGGGUGCGUAGGCGGGUCUUUAAGUCAGGGGUGAAAUCCUGGAGCUCAACUCCAGAACUGCCUUUGAUACUGGCGAUCUCGAGUCCGGGAGAGGUGAGUGGAACUGCGAGUGUAGAGGUGAAAUUCGUAGAUAUUCGCAAGAACACCAGUGGCGAAGGCGGCUCACUGGCCCGGUACUGACGCUGAGGUGCGAAAGCG